ACCCCGGUGGCGCAGUCGGUACCGCGUGAGUCUCAUAAUCUCAAGGUCGUGGGUUGAAGACCCAUCCGAGGCA
rnacentral:tRNA from 1 species